UAAUCAGCUACGUGAAGUCCA
rnacentral:siRNA from 1 species